GAGCUUCAAUCUACCCGUCUCUUCGCCUAUAUUAUGGGUGCCGGGCAACCGGCUAUGGCGAUAAACGCGUUGCGGAAUAGACGUUGCGGACCCGGGGGCGGUACCCGGCGCCUCCACCAAUUCCGGGACCGGGGUUCAGGCUCCGGUCCCCCUUGCGGGGGCGAAAUAGGAUCGACGCGCGUAGUAAAGGCUUCGUUUUCGCCCGGCAUGGCUCCACCGUUAUCGGGCCAUUGCAAUAGUUGCGAACGACAACUUUGCGGAGGCGCGCGUCGCCGCCUAAGGGCAGCCACGCAAGCCACUUCUAAGUCCUAGGCCCUUCCAAGGUUUAGGCGCGGUUCGGGGGGCACCGGGCAACAGAAGCCCCCCACU
rnacentral:tmRNA from 1 species